UGGGAUUUGUCAAUGUGCACGUCACGAGUACUUAAUUGUCCUCUCCAAACAUUUACAGGCCAUCUGAAUGUGAAGAAUUUCGUUGGUUUAUCUGUGUGUGAAGGUUAUAUCGCCACUGGCUCGGAGACAAAUGAGGUAACUCAUGCUCAUGCAUCGUACAAACUUUUAUGUGUUACUGUCUAGAUUUUUCUGGUAGAAAAACAUCUUGUAGAAAAAGUCUGUCUGUAGACAAACAUUGUCUGGAGUAUGAUAUUGACACUAAGGGCCUUCUCACAUCUUCUUAGGAAGAAACUUUCACUUUGACCUUGCUAAACUAAUUGGCCAGUUUACCUCCUUAACUUGAGUUCACCAUAUUAUGAGGUGAAAAUUUCUAUGAAGUAGGCAAGUGAGAUCUGGGGGGUAUGUUAAAUCUUUUUGUGCAGAAGCCUGAAAUCAGGUUUUUAGGCAAAAUAGAGAGAACAAACACACAAAAUUUACAUGGUUCGGAACUUGGCUCCUCAGGUAGGAGACAAGAAGAACUUCACUAAACAAAGGGGAGAAUAUGAAUGAGUGCCAAGUAUAUAAUUCUAAAUACCCAGGUAUUGACCUAAGGACUCAAACCAAAUUGCCAACUGAACGUAUGUACCUAGUUGAGAUUACCAAGGGCUCCAUAAGUCCUUCUCCAAGAUAGUACAUGUCUAUCUCAUGAACUGGGGAAGAUCCAAAUAACAAAGGAGGCUCCUAUACGUAGUGGAACAGAUGGAUAUGCUAACUAUCCCUAUUUUGAUAUCGGAUAUGAAAAAAUUCCUAUCCUAUGUAUGACAAACAAAGCCAUAUUCUGCGUGAUCCAAUCCCUAUUAUAUAUGAGAUUUAUUCUAAAGUGAUAAUUUAACAAAUCUCCACCUUCAAUUUGAAUUGUCCAAGCCUUUAAAUAGGAGUUCUUCACGCAUUUCCCCUGAAGUGAAUCUUCCACUGUCUUCUCCAAUGUUUCCUUUGAAAUUUCCCAUCUUCAUCUUGCUCGUACUAGUCCACCUUUCUCUAAUACUACUUGUUGUGCAGAAGCCCCAAUUAGGGGUUUUAGGUAAAAUAUAACAAACUCAGGGAUAUUUGCAUGGUUCGACACUUGACCUUUGUUGACGUAAAAAAUUCUAGGAGUGGGCACGGUCCGGUU